rnacentral:rRNA from 1 species
CCUACGGGUGGCAGCAGUGGGGGAUAUUGCACAAUGGAGGAAACUCUGAUGCAGCGACGCCGCGUGAGGGAAGACGGUCUUCGGAUUGUAAACCUCUGUCUUUGGGGAAGAAAAUGACGGUACCCAAAGAGGAAGCUCCGGCUAACUACGUGCCAGCAGCCGCGGUAAUACGUAGGGAGCGAGCGUUGUCCGGAAUUACUGGGUGUAAAGGGCGUGUAGGCGGGAAAGCAAGUCAGAUGUGAAAACCAUGGGCUCAACCUGUGGCCUGCAUUUGAAACUGUUUUUCUUGAGUACUGGAGAGGCAGACGGAAUUCCUAGUGUAGCGGUGAAAUGCGUAGAUAUUAGGAGGAACACCAGUGGCGAAGGCGGUCUGCUGGACAGCAACUGACGCUGAGGCGCGAAAGCGUGGGGAGCAAACAGGAUUAGAUACCCCAGUAGUC